rnacentral:rRNA from 1 species
CUUGCUUUCUUUGCCAGCGACCGGCGCACGGGUGAGUAACACGUAUCCAACCUGCCCUUUACUCGGGGAUAGCCUUUCGAAAGAAAGAUUAAUACCCGAUGGCAUAAUGAUUCCGCAUGGUUUCAUUAUUAAAGGAUUCCGGUAAAGGAUGGGGAUGCGUUCCAUUAGGUUGUUGGUGAGGUAACGGCCCACCAAGCCUUCGAUGGAUAGGGGUUCUGAGAGGAAGGUCCCCCACAUUGGAACUGAGACACGGUCCAAACUCCUACGGGAGGCAGCAUG